rnacentral:rRNA from 1 species
GACGAACGCUGGCGGCGUGCUUAACACAUGCAAGUCGAACGGAAAGGCCCUGCUUUUGUGGGGUGCUCGAGUGGCGAACGGGUGAGUAACACGUGAGUAACCUGCCCUUGACUUUGGGAUAACUUCAGGAAACUGGGGCUAAUACCGGAUAGGAGCUCCUGCUGCAUGGUGGGGGUUGGAAAGUUUCGGCGGUUGGGGAUGGACUCGCGGCUUAUCAGCUUGUUGGUGGGGUAGUGGCUUACCAAGGCUUUGACGGGUAGCCGGCCUGAGAGGGUGACCGGCAACAUUGGGACUGAGAUACGGCCCAGAAUCCUACGGGAGGCAGCAGUGGGGAAUAUUGCACAAUGGGCGGAAGCCUGAUGCAGCAACGCCGCGGGCGGGAUGACGGCCUUCGGGUUGUAAACCGCUUUCGCCUGUGACGAAGCGUGAGUGACGGUAAUGGGUAAAGAAGCACCGGCUAACUACGUG